rnacentral:tRNA from 1 species
GGAAUUGUGGCUCAGUGGUAGAGCACGUACCUUGCAUGUGUGAGGCACUGGGUUCCAUCCUCAGCACCA